rnacentral:ncRNA from 1 species
AAAACAGUCCUUUUCAGGACUACUAAACUUUCUCAAAAAGAUGUUUU